UACGGAGGGUGCAAGCGUUAUCCGGAAUCACUGGGUUUAAAGGGUGCGUAGGCGGCCAGAUAAGUCAGAGGUGAAAGACGGUAGCUUAACUAUCGCAGUGCCUUUGAUACUGUUUGGCUUGAAUAAGGAUGAGGUAAGCGGAAUGUGACAUGUAGCGGUGAAAUGCAUAGAUAUGUCAUAGAACACCUAUUGCGAAGGCAGCUUACUAGACCUAUAUUGACGCUGAGGCACGAAAGCGUGGGUAUCGAAC
rnacentral:rRNA from 1 species